rnacentral:lncRNA from 1 species
GUCAUGAAAAGUCACAUUGGAAGCAGAACUGUCCAAAGUACCAGCAAGAUGUGAAGUAUGGGAAAGUUAAACCCAACCAUGCAGGUAUUUACACUAUCAUUUCUAAUAACUCACCCCAUUCUAAAUCUUGGGUCCUUGAUACCGGUUGUGGUAUUCAUAUUUGUUGUGACUUGCAGGGACUAAGAAGAAGUGAGAAUGUGGAGCAAGGAAGAAUAAACUUGAUCAUGGGGAAUAGGAAAGCUUUACCUGUUACCAAGAUUGGAGUUUAUACUUUAUCGCUAAGUAGUGGGUUUAAUUUAGAUUUGAAUAAAUGUUGUUAUUCGCCAGGAAUGGCAAGAAAUAUUAUUUCCUUUCAUGCUUUGUACAAACAAGGGUUUACCUUUUCAUUUAAUAAUGAAGUUGGUUCUAUAGAUGUUUUCUAUAAUAAUGUUUUUUAUUUUAAAGCAUUACCUUGUGAUGGUGUGUAUGAAGCUGUAUCUGUUGUAGAUAACUUGGGAAAUAAUGUUUUGUGUAUUGAUUCUACUAAUAAUAACUUGGAUAAAGCAUCUUUAUGGCAUUGUCGUCUUGGACAUAUAAGCAAGAAACGCAUAGGCCAACUCCAAAAGGAUGGAGUCUUGGAGUCGUUUGACCUAAAGUCAGAUGAUAGUUGCGAAUCAUGCUUACUUGGAAAAAUGACAAAGUCACCCUUCACAGGUUCGUGUGAGAGGGGUGAAGGUUUGUUGGACCUUAUACACACGGAUGUGUGUGGACCAUUCAAACAUGCCACAAGGGAUGCUAAUCGUUAUUAUUUGACUUUUACUGAUGAUUAUAGUAGAUAUGGAUAUGUCUACUUGAUCAAGCAUAAGUCAGAGACUUUCGAGAGGUUUAAGGAAUUUAAACAGGAAGUCGAGAAUCAAUUGGGCAGGAACAUUAAGAUGCUUCGAUCCGAUCGUGGUGGUGAGUAUCUUAGUUCAGAGUUCCUCGACUAUCUAAGGGAAUGUGGGAUAGUCUCACAAUUGACACCUCCCAGGACACCACAGUUGAAUGGUGUGGCUGAGAGGCGUAAUCGAACCUUGUUAGAUAUGGUUCGUUCCAUGAUGAGUCGAGCUACGCUACCAAUCUCAUUCUGGGGGUAUGCCUUAGAGACUGCCGCCCAUAUUCUUAAUCUAGUCCCUACAAAGAAAGUUGCCAAAACUCCUCACGAGAUGUGGACUGGUAAAGUACCUAAACUAGACCACAUCAAGAUUUGGGGUUGCGAGGCUUUCGUGAGACGCGAGACUCAUGAUAAGCUCGAACCUCGAAGCGAGAGGUGUAUUUUCAUCGGUUACCCACAGCGAUCCUUUGGUUACCUCUUCUACAGACCUAGUGACAAUGUGGUCUUUGUAGCAAGAAGAGGAGUCUUUCGAGAAAGAGAGUUUAUAAGCCAAGGAGACAGUGGGAGGCAAAUUGAUCUUGAAGAAAUUCAAGAAUCAAGCGGUGAAGGAACUUCAAACUCUAGCCCUCAACUUGAGGAGGAAACUCCUGUUGAGCCAAUUGACAAAUCUGUACCUCUGAGACGUUCCACGAGAGUUAGGAGUGCACCUGAGCAUUACUAUGGAUUCCAUAUUACUGCAGAAGGUGAGACACUUAUUAGUGAUGAGACACUAGUAAGUCAAGAUGACCCUAACAGCUACGAGGAAGCCAUGGCAGGCCCCGAGUCUGCUAAAUGGAAAGAGGCUAUGGAUAGCGAGAUACAAUCCAUGUAUGACAAUCAAGUUUGGAACUUGGUUGAAAAUGUACCAGGUCGUAAGACAGUAGGGUGCAAAUGGGUCUUCAAGAAGAAGACCGACAUGGAUGGUAAAGUACACACUUAUAAGGCUAGACUGGUUGCAAAGGGCUUCUCUCAAAUUCCUGGAGUGGAUUAUGAUGAGACCUUUUCUCCGGUAGCCAAGAUUAAGUCUAUUCGGGUUCUGUUAGCCAUAGCUGCAUUUCAUGACUAUGAAAUAUGGCAGAUGGAUGUCAAAACCGCUUUCCUUAAUGGAAAGUUGGCUGAAGAUGUUUACAUGAGUCAGCCAGAGGGUUUUGUCAGCAACGAGUACCCUAAUAGAGUGUGUAAGCUUGAGAAAUCCAUUUAUGGAUUGAAGCAAGCACCUCGCAGAUGGAAUCUUUGCUUUGAUGAAAAGGUCAAGGAAUUUGGCUUUUCUAGGAGUGAAGAUGAAUCUUGUGUGUAUGUCAAGGCUAGUGGGAGUAUAGUUAGCUUUUUGGUAUUGUAUGUGGAUGACAUACUACUCAUAGGAAACGACAUUCCAACCCUGCAGGAAGUAAAGUCCUGGCUUGGGAAGUGUUUCGCUAUGAAGGACCUUGGUGAAGCUGCCUAUAUUCUAGGGAUAAGAAUCUUGAGAGAUCGGAGUAAAAGACUAAUUGGACUUAGUCAGAGUACCUACUUGGAUAAGGUGCUGAAGAGAUUCAGCAUGCAGGAUUCCAAGAAAGGAGAGUUACCCAUCCAGAGUAACACCAGAUUGAGUAAGACACAAAGCCCUAGCACUGAGGCUGAGAUAGCAGAAAUGAGUCGAACACCUUACGCUUCGGCUGUAGGAUCGAUCAUGUAUGCUAUGACGUGUACUCGACCCGAUGUAGCUUUUGCCUUGAGCAUGGUUAGCAGGUAUCAGGCGAACCCUGGCAAGGCACACUGGACUGCGGUAAAGAAUAUCCUCAAGUACCUACGGAGGACUAAGGACUGGGUCCUUACCCUCGGUGGGAGUGAUGACUUGAGAGUUGUAGGGUAUAGUGAUGCUAGCUUCCAGACUGAUAGGGAUAAUUUCCGCUCUCAGUCGGGCUGGGUCUUUACCCUAAACGGAGGAGCAAUUUCUUGGAAGAGUUCCAAGCAAGAGACAGUGGCAGAUUCUACUUGUGAAUCAGAGUAUAUUGCAGCUAGCGAAGCAGCAAAGGAGGCGAUAUGGCUGAAGAACUUCAUUGGAGACCUUGGAGUUGUACCAGCUAUUAAAGAGCCAAUGGAAAUUUUCUGUGAUAGUGAAAGUGCUGUUGCCUUAGCCAAGGAACCAAGGGAUCAUGGGAGAUCCAGACACAUCGACAGAAAAUACCAUUUCAUUAGACAUCGGAUCGAAGAAGGACUCCUCGUGGCAAAGAGGGUAUCAUCGGAUGAGAACCCAGCAGAUCCCCUCACGAAGGGACUGAGUAGGGUUAAGCAUCUCCAGCAUGCUCGGAGCAUAGGGCUGAAGGAUGAUAUAAGUUUUAGUAGUUAGAUAACCCAGAAAUUUGUAAAGUGUAAUUGACAUUUGAUGAUGAAUAAAAGGUGUUUUAUUUAUGAGUAAAGUGUUGCUAUCUCUUGUCAAUCGUUUACUAUAUUUCUUUUGCAUGUUUUGACUUCCAGAAUAAUUUUGUUUGGUGUAACAUAUUAUUCAAACCUCCACAGUCGGUCAUAUGUCGGAAGUAGGUAUGAAUCAAGACUGUCAUGAUGGGUUGUAGAGGUCUAAGGUGUUGGACAAGGCUACAACAAUCAUGAGUGCUCAUAAGUUCUGAGCAUUGGACUCAACCCACGCUCACUGGAAUCACUUCAUGGAAUUCUAUCUCGAGUGAUCGUGAGACGGUAAUAUCAUAUAAGUCUUCAAACCUAGAGAUAUGAUUUGUUACUUACAAGUUGGUUAUGCAUUGACUGUACGAAACCGCAUUGGUAACUCGAUGUUAUAAAACGUACUUUUGUGUGUAAUUCAAUGAGUGGUAGAACAAACAUAUGAGUCGAAGUUUAUCUGUUCCUUCUUGGAUUAGAAGCUGAUAUCUGGGCCCCUCGAUGAUUUUGUUUUGACCCAUGUACCGGGCCCGGUCAGAACUAAGUUGAUGUGUUCAAUUAAGUUCUAUGUCAAACAAAUCGGAAAUCGGGAAACAAAUGCUGGACAAUAAGCAAGACAAUGUUCCAUGUAUUUGUCCGGCUGAUAUCUAGAACGGAGGAUUAUAUGAUCACUUAUCUUAAAUGGCGUACCAUCAUCUUCUCAGUUCCGAGAGACCUUGAAAGAGCUACGAUUGCCGGUCGGUUCCUGAAGUACUAGAGAUAUAGUUAUUAGACUUAUCCAAGUGGGAGACUGUUGGAUAAGGUGUCUAAGUCCAUAACUAUUUCGGGCUUGUACUUGACCCGACCCGGCAUGGUCCAUUUGGGUUGCAUGGCACCAUGCAAUUGGAUAGACUAAAUGAGAGAAAUAACACUUGGAGAUUAUUAAUAUAUUAUAAGUUCUAAUAUAUUAAUAAUAUUAUUUGAUUAGUUGAUCAAAGAAUUAAUUUGGAAUUAAUUAAGUGAUCAAAGGAUAACUAAUUAAAUAUAUGGGUUGAUUAUGUAAAUCAUCCAUAUCUUGUAUAGUGGGCUAAGAGGCUCCAUGGAUUAUCAAGUUGGGUUCUACCCAUAGGAUGCUCCAUGGAUGCUCCAUGGGAGUUACAAACCCAUGGGUCAUGGAAAUGAAGAGUCAUGACACAUUAGGGUUUACAUGGUGUAACCCUAGAUGUGUCAACACUAUAUAAGAAUCAUAUUCUCCACCAAAAUCGGCUACACUAAGAAACUAGAGGGCUUGGCCGAUUUUGAGAAGUGUGUGUUAUCUCAAGAGUCUUUCCAAGAGCAUUUGGUGUUGUGUGAAGCAUUUGAGGCAUCACACUUGGGGUGCUAGGCUCACAAGGUUUCAAGGAACACAAGCAACAACAAGGUAAGUUAUUCUAUCUAUGAUUCAAGUUAAAAUUGUUCCCCAUGUAUGCUAGAUAGGAAUAUAACCUUGGAAUUCAACUUUGCAUGAUAAUUAGACAAACAUAGAUCCAAGGUUAUUAGGGUUGCAUGUACACUUAGGAAGUGUUAGAAUGCUCAAAACCCAUCAGUGGUAUCAGAGCCUAGGCUUGUUUGUUUGUUAUUUGUGCUUAAAAGUUGAAGAAAGUCGAAAAUCUUGCUGUCUGACUGAUGGACUCGGCGAGUCCAUGGGGAGGACUCGUCGAGUUCAUGUGUAUCUUCAACCUACUCGGCGAGUAGGUUUAUGCACUCGGCGAGUAGGGUCGACAGAGUGCAGAAUUUCGACUUGAGUUGCUGGAAAUGGAUUAGAAUCAUUACCCUAAAAUGUUUUGGUACUUGAAAACUUAUUUUAGAAGGUGUAAUGUCUUUUCUAACUCAUUUACAACAACUAGUUAUCAAAAUUACAAAGAUUAAAUGUGAUUUUGAUUCUUGAAAGUGUUCAUAUUCAUAUUCUUGUUCUUAUGAUGUUUAGAUGAUCAUAGGAAUUAUUUGUAACCUAUGUGGUAGAUUAAUUCAUGAUCAUAAUGUGUUUUAAUGGAGUCCAUAACUUGUCCUCAAGUUAUGGAAAACCAAAAGUCUCUUGGAUUAAAAACCAUUAAAAGAACACAAGAGUUAGGAAAAAUGAAAAGUCCUCAUUUUAUUACUCUAUUAAACUCAUAAGUUACAAGAAAUGAAAAGUUUUGAAAGUUUACAAAACUUGCCCUCAAGUUUUGGAACAAGUAAAGUUAAGUUAAAACUUUAGUUCCAACCCCUAGAAUUUUAAAAGUUAAAAUUCAACCCUUAUACUUAUAUUAUUAUGAUUUAAUAAUUAUAUAUAUAUGUAUAAGAACAAAGUCGUCUUACCGCUAGUACGCCUCAUUCACGAAGCCGGUCUAUAAGGUGGGUAUAAGGUUGUUGCCUAUAAAAUGGUGACUUAAUGGGUGUCCACUCUCACCCACCGCUUGCUUGAUCGGUGGAGGGUCGUUAGCCGAACGGGUAAGACAAGGACUUAUUAAUUCUCAUUCAAAGUAUGAUGAAUAUUAUAAAGUAACUAAAUGUUUUAUUAAAUUCCCAAUCUUAGUUACUUUAGGAAAAAUGUGAAUAAGGUGCUAUUCCAUGAAAUUACACUUUACACUUUGAUUAAGUCGUUGGUGGAGCGUGUGUGGUUAACCGGCACACUAACUUGGACUUAACAAGGUAGGUAAAGGGUGACUUAGGGUUUAUUAUAGUAUCGAUGGAGCGUGUGUGGUUAACCGGCACAUCGAUUGAGUGAUAAACUUUAAGGGUACCAAGUGAUUUGCAUGGUUACUUCACACCUCGUUUUGUGAUCCUCGGUAUCCCAGUCACAAAACUUGGAGGGCACACUCGAGAUUGAAACAUGCCUUUGAAAAGUUCAUUGAAUCUCAAAGAAUCUAGGAAUUUCUAAGAACCAUUCAAAAACCUAAUACUAAAAUAUUGCGGUUUUCGUGGUGGAAAUUGGUGAAUCGUCAUUCACCUACCUUUCAAAUAUGAUAUAGCUUAGAUUACGGCAUACCUCUUCUAAGUUAUAUUAUAUUGUGAUUGGAUCCUAGCCUUAAUAUUACAUUUGGGUGUUUUAUUAAGGACUCUCUUAUAUCUAAACUAAUCUUGUCCUCUUUCCUUCAGAUGUCUUUCAACAAUGCUUCUGGCUCUAAUCCUAAUGGCUCCUUUACCCUUAUGAACUUGUGUGGGAAAGUCACCUUUGAUGGAUCCAACUUCAAUGAGUGGAUCAGAAACAUCAGGAUGAUUACCCGCUACGAGGACAAAGAAUAUGUCCUUGACAAGGAGCUUAAGGAGAUUGAUGAGUCCACUGCAACUCCUCAGGAGAUCGCUGAAUUUCGGGCACAUGAAAGGGAUGCUACGAAAGUGGCUUGCAUCAUGAUGGCCACGAUGACAGCGGAACUCCAAAAGUCUUAUGAGGAUUUCUACCCUUAUGAAAUGCACCAAGAUUUGAUGGAAAGAUACCAUCAAAGUGCAAGACAAGAGAGGUAUGAAAUCAUCUGCUCCAUGAUAACAACCAUGAUGAAGGACGGGGAAUCCGUCACGAGCCACAUGCAGAAAAUGCAAAGGUAUGUGGAUCGUUUGCUGAAGCUUAAUGUGAACUUCCCGGAGGAUCUUGCAAUAGAUAUUAUUUUGCAUUCCUUACCAUCGUGCUAUGAUCAAUUCCGCAUGACAUAUCACAUGAACAAGGAAGAAGUCACCCUCAGCAAACUUCAGGGACUUCUCAAGACCGCAGAAUCAGGUCUUAAGGGGAAGUCGGUUGCUAUCACUCCUACUCAAAACUCUACUCCGGUUUUGGCAAUCGGGAAAAGUCGAGGGAGGAAGAGAAAGAGCUCUUCUAAGGGUACCAAGGUUCGGACCCUUGAUGGCUCUUCUUCAAGUGGAACCAAGAAAGGUUUCAUUACUCCUUCUUCUGACCCAAAAGAGGCUGAAUGCUUCUAUUGCCAUGAAAAAGCUCAUUGGAAGCGGAACUGCCCAAAAUACCAGCAAGAUGUGAAGGAUGGGAAAGUUAAACCCAACCAUGCAGGUAUUUACACUAUCAUUUCUAAUAACUCACCCCAUUCUAAUUCUUGGGUCCUUGAUACCGGGUGUGGUAUUCACAUUUGUUGUGACUUGCAGGGACUAAGAAGAAGUGAGGAUGUGGAGCAAGGAAGGAUAAACUUGAUCAUGGGGAAUAGGAAAGCUAUACCUGUUACCAAGAUUGGAGUUUAUACUUUAUCGCUAAGUAGUGGGUUUAGUUUAGAUUUGAAUAAGUGUUGUUAUUCGCCAGGAAUGGCAAGAAAUAUUAUUUCCUUUCAUGCUUUGUACAAACAAGGGUUUACCUUUUCAUUUAAUAAUGAAGUUGGUUCUAUAGAUGUUUUCUAUAAUAAUGUCUUUUAUUUUAAAGCAUUACCUUGUGAUGGUGUGUAUGAAGCUGUAUCUGUUGUAGAUAACUUGGGAAAUAAUGUUUUGUGUAUUGAUUCUACUAAUAAUAA